GGGGAAUAUUGGGCAAUGGGGGAAACCCUGACCCAGCAACGCCGCGUGAAGGAAGAAGGCUUUCGAGUUGUAAACUUCUUUGACGAGGGACGAAAGAAAUGACGGUACCUCGAAAACAAGCCACGGCUAACUACGUGCCAGCAGCCGCGGUAAUACGUAGGUGGCAAGCGUUGUCCGGAUUUACUGGGUGUAAAGGGCGCGUAGGCGGGAUAGCAAGUCAGAUGUGAAAUGCCAGGGCUUAACCCUGGAGCUGCAUUUGAAACUGCUGUUCUUGCGUAUCGGAGAGGCAGGCGGAAUUCCUAGUGUAGCGGUGAAAUGCGUAGAUAUCACGAGGAACUCCGAUUGCGCAGGCAGCUUACCAAGCCGUAACUGACGCUCAAGCACGAAGGCGUGGGGAUCAAACA
rnacentral:rRNA from 1 species